GGAUGAGGGCGAUCUGGCUGCAAUAUCUGUCACCCCAUCAGUCACCAAGGUUGGUUAGCUCAUCUGGCUGGUGUCCCCGUCCUCCCUCACCACUCCACGUGCGUCCCUCCUGAAGCUGUGCGCUUGGCUGAAGAGGACCACCACCUCCAAUAGAGGAGGAGCGGUCUUUGGUCCAGGGUAUAUGAGUAGCUGCACCCCCCUGCUAAAACCUCCAAACAAGCUCUCAAAUACACCUAUUUUUUGAAGUCCCUCAUCUUAUGACCCACUUCUUUUAUUUUAUUAAGUAUAUUAAACAUGCAAUAUCAUGUAUU
ensembl:misc_RNA 7SK 7SK RNA